GCGCGCAGGCGUCAAAUUGUCGAGCGAAUUAUCGAUCCAAGCCACGUGCGGCAGGAGCCGGCACAACCACUCUUGCGUCAACCCCCGUAUAUAGUACAUAGUUUUGUAGUUUGACUCUUGUGUCAACUUUCGCACGUAGUAUUUCGUUAUAAUAAUUUGGCUUCUAUGUCAGCUUCAGUGGGUAGCGUUCGCGUGAUUUGACUCUUGUGUCAACCCCGUGCCUAUUACACGAUUUUGUAAUUCGACUUUUGUGUCGACGUUUGUACGUGACAAUUACAUAGUUUGACUCUUGUGUCAACCUUAUUUGUACAUUAUAUUUUGUGACUCGACUAUUGUGUUAAUUCCGUACAGUUUGACUCUUGUGGCAACUAGUGCGUAGUAUUUUCUUGUAAUUUGACUGUGGAAUCAAUACCAUUGUAAU